GCUGUGAGGGGAACGGCACCUCAGUACCUCCAGGCUCUGAUCAGGCCCUACACCCAAACAAGGGCACUGCGUUCAUCCACCUCUGGCCUGCUCGCCUCCCUACCACUGAGGAAGCACAGUUCCCGCUCAGCCCAGUCAAAACUGUUCGCUGCUCUGGCCCCCCAAUGGUGGAACAAACUCCCUCACGACGCCAGGACAGCGGAGUCAAUCACCACCUUCCGGAGACACCUGAAACCCCACCUCUUCAAGGAAUACCUAGGAUAGGUAGUUGGAGAAAUUAGGACAAGCGACUCCCUGGAUGUCUCUGAAACCAUGUCAGUCAGCGUCCAUGAAAACCGUAAGUCCCGGACCAGCACGGGCUCCAUGAACAUCUCACUGUUCCAUAAGCCCUCACAUCCAGACAGCGUGCUCACCCACCUCAACACCCUCCGCAAGCAGUGCAUGUUCACUGAUGUGACGCUGUGGGCGGGGGACCGCUCCUUCCCCUGCCAUCGGGCGGUACUGGCCGCAUGCAGCCGCUACUUUGAGGCGAUGUUCAGUGGCGGGCUCCGUGAGAGCCUGGACAACGAGGUGAACUUCAGAGACAGUGUGCAUCCAGAGGUGUUGGAGCUGCUGCUGGACUUUGCCUACUCUUCACGUGUCAUCAUCAACGAGGAGAACGCAGAGUCGUUGCUGGAGGCGGGAGACAUGCUGCAGUUCCACGACAUCAGAGACGCUGCUGCGGAGUUCCUGGAGAAGAACCUGCAUUUGUCCAACUGCCUGGGUAUGAUGCUACUGUCUGAUGCCCACCAAUGCAAACAGCUGUAUGAGCUCUCCUGGAGCAUGUGCCUGGUGCACUUUGAGGCGUUGCGGGACACAGAGGACUUCUACGGCCUCAACAAAGACAAGCUGCUGAACCUGAUCCUCAGCGACGAGCUGGAGAUCGAGGACGAGCAUAUCGUGUUCAAUGCUGUGAUGCGCUGGGUGCGCUACGACCUGGACGGCCGCAGAGACGACCUCCCUGAGCUGCUGGGUGGAAUCCGCCUGGCCCUGCUGCCCUCUGAGUGUCUGAUUGAGGCGGUGGCCUGCGAGGAGCUGGUGAUGUCAGACAAGAGGAGCCGGCAGAUAGUGGAGGAGGCUAUGCAGUGCAAGAAGAAGAUCCUGCAAAACGAUGGGGUGGUCACCAGCCCAUGUGCCCGGCCCCGCAAGGCAGGCCACACGUUGCUCAUCUUGGGAGGACAGACCUUCAUGUGUGAUAAGAUCUACCAGGUGGACCACAAAGCCAAGGAGAUCAUUCCCAAGUCGGUCUUGCCCAGUCCCAGGAAAGAGUUCAGCGCCUGUGCAAUUGGCUGUAAGGUCUACGUGACUGGGGGGAGGGGUUCUGAGAACGGGGUGUCCAAGGAUGUUUGGAUCUAUGACACGGUCCACGAGGAGUGGUCUAAAGGAGCUCCCAUGUUGAUAGCACGGUUUGGCCAUGGUUCAGCUGAACUGGAGAACUGGCUGUAUGUGGUGGGUGGCCACACUGCCAUAGCAGGCAUCUUCCCAGCCUCCCCCUCAGUCUCCCUCAAACAGGUAGAGCGGUAUGACCCACUCACCAACAAAUGGACCAUGAUGGCGCUGCUCAGAGAUGGUGUUAGCAAUGCAGCUGUGGUCAGCGCCAAGCUAAAGCUGUUUGUGUUUGGUGGUACCACCAUACACAGAGACAAGGCCUCAAAGGUGCAGUGCUACGACCCUCUAGAGAACCGCUGGGCCAUCGCAGCAGAAUGUCCGCAACCGUGGAGAUACACAGCCGCUGCUGUUCUGGGCAGCCAGAUCUUCAUAAUGGGCGGAGACACUGAGUUCACCGCCGCCUCCGCCUACCGCUUUGACUGUGAGACCAACCAGUGGUCUCGUGUUGGGGACAUGACUUCUAAAAGAAUGAGCUGCCAUGCGGUGGCCUCUGGGAACAAACUGUACGUGGUGGGGGGCUACUUUGGGACGCAGCGCUGCAAGACGCUAGACUGUUAUGACCCCACGUCUGAUAGCUGGAACAGUAUAACCACAGUGCCUUACUCACUAAUUCCCACUGCGUUUGUAAGCACCUGGAAACAUCUACCUGCCUAGCAAACAUGACAUGAACAAGGAGUGGUCUCCAGAAGUGGGGACUAAAGAGGGCACCUGAUUGGCAUUUCACGCAAUUGGCUUAGCAGGAGGAAAGAGUUAUGCUUAACUCAUUUGGAGGUUGAAGGAUAUCCCACCCUGACACCUGGGCAGAUGUAAAGAACUUGAGAACCCCCCAGCCACCAGGACAAUCACCAUAUCCCAGGAUUUGUUUCAGGGGUGUGCAACAUCACAAUGUUAGAUACUUACUGCACUGCUGGAGCUAGAAGCAUAAGCAUUUCGCUGCACCAGCUAUAACAUCUGCUAAUCUGUGACGUGACCAAUAAACUUUUGUUUGAUAUAGAAAUAGAUUCAUCCAGGUUAUUGUUUGUCAUGCAGAUUGUUCAGGUCAUUGUAAUUUAUGACGUUCAUUCUAAAAUACAGAUGUGACUUCUGGGGGAUUGCACUGUGUGAAAGUCUUACAUUUAGACCACAAUUAGUUGAAUGAGGUGUUCGUAAAGGGCUGGAACAAAAACCUGUAAACUCCAAGCUAUUUAAAGGCACAGUCAACUUAGUGCAUGUAAACGUCUGACCCACUGGAAUUGUGAUACAGUGAAUUGUAAGUGAAAUAAUCUGUCUGUUAACAAUUGUUGGUAAAAUUACUUGUGUCAUGCACGAAGUAGAUGUCCGAACCGACUUGCCAAAACUCUAGUUUGUUAACAAGAAAUUUGUGGAGUUGUUGAAAAAAGAGUUUUAAUGACUCCAACCUAAGUGUAUGUAAACUUCCGACUUCAACUGUAUGUACCCCACACAUACAAUUAUCUGUAGGGUUCCUCAAUCAAGCAGUGAGUAUCAAACACAAAGACCAGGGAGGUCUUCCAAUGCCUCACAAAGGGCAGCUAAAAAUUAAUGCAGACAUUGAAUAUCCCUUUUGAGCAUGAAGUUAUGAAUUACACUUUGGACGGUGGAUCAAUACACCCAGUCACUACAAAUAUGCAGGUGUCCUUCCUAACUCAGUUACCGAAGAGGAAGGAAACCAAGAGGAAGGAAACAGUUAGAGUAAAAUUGGCUGGGAUAUGACAAAAUGGAGAAUGGAUUAACAACAUUGUAAUUUCUAAACUAUACUAACCGAAAUGACAGCGUGAAAGAGAAACCUGUACAGAAUAAAAAUAUUCCAAAACAUGCAUCUUGUUUGCAAUACGGCACUAAAGUAAAAAUGCAAAACAUGUGGCAAAGAAAUUCAUUUUAUGUUCUGAAUACAAAACCUUAUGUUUGGGUAAAAUCACUGAGUACAACUUUUCAUAUUUCCAAGCAUGGUGGUGGCUUCAUCAUGUUAUGGGUAUGCUUGUCAUCGGCAAGGUUUUUUAUUUUUUUUAUUUAAAUAAACCGAGGUAAGCAGGCAAAAGAUGCAUGAAGAUGUUGGUUGAUCUGCUCAUCGACACACACAAGCUUCAGGGGAUCUGAAGGUAACCCAGGACCUGGCUGUAAAAAUUGCAAAAAGUGCAUAUGGGGUAAAAUGAGCCACAAAUUAUGUGACCAAACCUGAGUUUUAUAUCUCUCGGAUAUAGGACAGACACUUCAAAAUCUUGUUCCGUAUUAUUAAUUUAUUUUACUGUGUUUUGCUAUUUAUGAAUUAUUCAAUGCGUUUCUAUAGCAGUAAAUCAAAUCAAAGUUUAUUUGUCACGUGCGCCGAAUACAACAGGUGUAAACCUUACAGUGAAAUGCUUACUUACAGGCUCUAACCAAUGGUGCCAAAAAAAGGUGUGUGUGUGUGUGGGUAAGUAAAGAAGUAAAACAACAGUAGAAAGACAUUUGAAAAAAAGAGUGGCAAGGCUAAAUACAGACACCUGUUAGUCAGGCUUAUUGAGGUAGAAUGUACUUGUAGGUAUUGUUAAAGUGACUGUGCAUAUAUGAUGAGAGAGUAGCAGAAGCGUAAAAAGGGGUUGGCGGGUGGUGGGACACAAUGUCGAUAGCCCAGUUAGAGCAACGGUUGGUCAGGCCAAUUGAGGUAGUAUGUACAUGAAUGUAUAGUUAAAGUGACUAUGCAUAUAAGAUUAACAGAGAGUAGUAGCAGAGUAAAAGAGGGGUUGGGGGGACACACACAAUGCAAAUAGUCCGGGUAACCAUUGGUUACCUGUUCAGGAGUCUUAUGGCUUGGGUUAAAAACUGUUGAGAAGCCUUUUUGUCCUAGAUUUGGCACUCCGGUACCGCUUGCCAUGCGGUAGUAGAGAGAACAGUUUGUGGCUUUUUAGGGCCUUCCUCUGACACCGCCUGGUGUAGAGGUCCUGGAUGGCAGGCAGCUUUGCCCCAGUGAUGUACUGGGCAGUACGCACUACACUCUGAAAUGCCUUGUGCUCGCAGGCCGAGCAAUUGCCGUACCAGGCAGUGAUGCUCUCGAUGUUGCAGCUGUAGAACCUUUUGAGGAUCUCAGGACCCAUGACAAAUCUUUUUAGUUUCCUGAGGGGGAAUAGGCUUUGUCGUGCCCUCUUCAUGACUGUCUUGGUGUGUUUGGACCAAUCUAGUUUGUUGUUGAUGUGGACACCAAGGAAUUUGAAUCUCUCAACCGGUUCCACUACAGCCCCGUCGAUUAGAAUGGGGAUGUGCUCUGUGCUCCUUUUCCUGUAGUCCACAAUCAUCUCCUUAGUCUUGGUUACAUUGAGGGAUAGGUUGUUAUUCUGGCACCACCCGGCCAGGACUCUGACCUCCUCCCUAUAGGCUGUCUCGUCGUUGUCGGUGAUCAGGCCUACCACUAUUGUGUCGUCAGCAAACUUAAUGAUGGUGUUGGAGUCGUGCCUGGCCAUGCAGUCAUGGGUGAACAGGGAGUACAGGAGGGGACUGAGUACGCACCCCUGGGGAGCUCCAGUGUUGAGGAUCAGCGUGGCAGAUGUGUUGCUACCUACCCUCACCACCUGGGGGCGGCCUGUCAGGAAGUUCAUGAUCCAGUUGCAGAGGGAGGUGUUUAGUCCCAGGAUGCUUAGCUUAGUGAUGAGCUUUGAGGGUACUAUGGUGUUGAACGCUGAGCUAGGAUAAUGGUGUUGAUGUGAGCCAUUACCAGCAUUUCAAAGCACUUCAUGGCUACGGAGGUGAGUGCUAUGGGUCUGUAGUCGUUUAGGCAGGUUGCCUUUGUGUUCUUGGGCAUAGGAACUAUGGUGGUCUGCUUGAUGCAUGUUACAGACUCAAUCAGGGACAUGUUGAAAAUGUCAGUGAAGAAACCUGCCAGUUGGUCAGCACAUGCCCGGUGCACACGUCCUGGUAAUCCGUCAUGCCCCGCAGCCUUGUGUAUGUUGACCUGUUUAAAGGUCUUACUCACAUCGGCUACGGAGAGCGUGAUCACACAGUCGUCCUGAACAGCUGAUGCUCUCAUGCAUGCCUCAGCGUUGCUUGCCUCGAAGCAAGCAUAGAAGUGAUUUAGCUCGUCUGGUAGGCUCGUGUCACUGGGCAGCUUGCGGCUAUGCUUCCCUUUUUAGUCUGUAAUAGUUUGCAAGCCCUGUCACAUCCGACGUGCGUCAGAGCCGGUGAAGUAUGAUUCAAUCUUAGCCCUGUAUUGACGCUUUGCCUGUUUGAUGGUUCUUCGCAGGGCAUAGCGGGAUUUCUUGUAAGUUUCCGGGUUAGAAUCCCGCACUUUGAAAGCGGCAGCUCUACCCUUUAGCUCAGUGCAAAUGUUGCCUGUUAUCCAUAGCUUCUGGUUGGGGUAUGUACAUACAGUCACUGUGGGGACAAUGUUCUCAAUGUACUUAUUGAUAAAGCCAGUGACUGAUGUGGUGUAUUCCUCAAUGUCAUUGGAAGAAUCCCGGAACAUGUUCUCGUCUGUGAUAGCAAAGCAGUCCUGUAGUUUAGCAUCUGCUUCAUCUGACCAUUUUUUUAUAGACCGAGUCACUGAUGCAUCCUGCUUUCAUUUUUGCUUGUAAGCGGGAAUCAGGAGGAUAACGUUGUGGUCGGAUUUACCAACUGGAGGGCGAGGGAGAGCUUUGUACGCGUCUCUGUGUGUGGAGUACAGGUGAUCUAUAAUUUUUUCCCUCUGGUUGCACAUUUAACAUGUUGAUAGAGAUUUGGUAGAACUGGUUUAAGCUUCCCUGCAUUAAAGUCUGCGGCCACUAGGAGCGCCGCCUCUGGGUGAGUGGUUUCCUGUUUGCUUAUUUCCUUAUACAGCUGACUGAGUGCGGUCUUAGUGCCAGCAUCUGUCUGUGGUGGUAAAUAAACAGCCACGAAAAGUAUAGUGGAGAACUCUCUAGGCAAGUAGUGUGGCCUGCAGUUUAUCACAAUAUACUCAACUUCUGGCGGGCAAAAUCUAGAGACUUCCUUAGAUUUCGUGCACCAGCUGUUGUUUACAAAUAUGCACAGACCCCCCCCCCCUCGUCUUACCGGAGUGUGCUGUUCUAUCCUGCCGGUGCAGAGUGUAUCCUUCUAGCUGAAUAUCCAUGUCGUCAUUCAGCCACAAUUCCGUGAAGCAUAGGAUAGGAUUCAAUGUUAAAUGUUUUUUGAUACCUACAUAGGUCCUAAAAAAUUCUAAAUCAAAUGGCUAAAGGAUACAUUUUAUGAACAACUUAUAACAAUUCCAUACGUUAGCUUAGUAGAUAUUGUGAUCUAAGGACUUAAACCUACAGGGGGUUUAAUUGCACAUACAGAACUAACGUUAACAAUAUGCAUGCCAGACAUUCCUGCUUUAUUUGACCUUUAUUUAACUUGGCAAGUCAGUUUAAGAACAAAUUCUUAUUUACAUGUAUCUUAUUUACAAUCACGGCGUACCCUGGCCAAACCUGGACGACGCUGGGUCAAUUGUGCCCCGCCCUAUGGGACUCCCUAUCACAGCCAGAUGUGAUUCAGUCUGGAUUCAAACCAGGGACUGUGAUGACAUCGCUUUCACUGAGAUGCAGUGCCUUAGACCGCUGCGCCACUCAGGAGCCCUGAGGGUUGACGAGAAAUGAACUGCUUCUCCUAGUUUUUAUGAGAAAUAUUACUGUGAUGAAAAUUCCAGAUUGUCUGCAUAAUCAAAUAACAUACAGCUCAGACACCCAUAUAGACCCCACAAUAAAUGCCACCAGGGGCUCUUCACAGCCCAAGUCCAAAACGAAUUCAUGCCAACACACAGUAUUUACUAUACAGAGCCAUGAUCGCAUGGAACUCCCUUCCAUCUCCAAUUACUCAAGCAAAAUGACCAUUAAAAAUGUAUAAAACAUCUCAUGGCACAAUAGGGACUGAAAUUAUGCACACACUAACAGUCUACACAUUAUUUAGUUGUAUUGUUUGUAUAUCGUUGUAUUUUACAUUUGUGUGACCUUGUCUAUCAGUGUAUCUGUGGAAGAAUAGCUGCUGCUUCUAAUGGGGAUCUGAAUAAACCAAUAAGUUGUGUUGAUGUCUUGAGUCUGUAUUCCUCAUUGGCGCUGUUUUGUCUAUUUCAGUGUUUUGCCUCUGAGACAUGAGACUUUGGUUUCACUGUGUAUCCAUCCGCCUCUCUGUUCACAGAUGUCACAUGUUUCCGGCCAUAGUGACAAGCAGAGGCUUGCUGGGGCUUGCCUGCCUGUAGACCAACGAGGUGUCAAGCGAGUGAAGGGUUUGGUUCCGCCAGGGUCGCCCAGCUAUAGCUGUUACGCCAAACACCCCAUCGGAGGUAAAGACUGUUCCAGAUUAUCUGAGGGGUCCAACGGCAGAACACAAGCGCCUCCAAGUGGGAUGCCAUUUCCUGGAUCUUCUCCCUCACAUCACAAAGAGACAUCCAUACCAUGCUUCCUAACAGUCUUAUUCAUGACAAUGGAGAGAAACACCCUUUAUAGACAGACAACCGAUUUGGGUAUCAUUGCUCAGUAUAUCUAACUGAGGCCAUUUUUAAAUGUCGUAUUAUUUGAGGGAUCCCCUAUUAGAUCAUUCCAGCUUUGAACCCAGGCGAUGUAGUCUUAAGGGGUGAUUGUUUUUUGUAAAUGACAAUUAAUUAACUACAGUAAGCAGGAACACUAUCCCUUCCAUCAUAAAAUGUGGUGCUGUUUGUUAGCGCUUUGCUGUAGGCUUUCAGCACACACUGUUAAUGAGCCUCAGCAGACACUCAGAUCCAACAAGCAGCCCUACACUACAUUGCAAGUCAACUCUUUAAAACAAUGAGAUACUGUAUAUCAAAGAAACACAACACGUAUCAUCUAACUUUCAGGGGAAGUACAUGUUAAAGUAUAAGCAGUUGUACUGUAUUUACUUUGUAUCUAUGAAACAAUUCAGCCUGGGACUCCUGUCAACACCACAGCACAAUUUGCUAUUGUUGACCUCUUAUCAUUGAAGCAUUUUUUGAAGGUAUGAAACGAUACCCAUUACUCACUGGUUUAAUCAAGAUUGUUUCCAUGUCAUUUCAACCCCCAAAUUAAAUGUGAUUACAUUUAAAAACUGUGAAAACUGAUUUGGAUUAGUAAAAAGUAAUCAACGUAGGGGAAUUGUCUUUUUUUCACCCACCUUUUAACCUAAAUCCAAUGGACAUGGUGACAUUUCUUGUUGAUUUCAAGUUGAAUUCACAUUUGUUGACAACUCAACCAAAUUUAAAAUCAAAACUAGAUGUUGAAAUUGCAUCUGUACCCACUGUGGUUGAUGUGUGUUUUAGUUAUACAACUUUGGCACUAUACAUUUGAUAAUAUGUCAAUGAGGGUACUAAGCUUUGAUAUUGGGAUUUUUCCAGGGGUGAAUUUGGUUUAUAUCUGGAGUUCAUUUGUGGAAUGAUAGCUGCCCAGAAGCUACAACCUUUUUCUUCAGAAGCCCCGUAGGAGGGGGGACUUUUUUUUAAAUGAUAAAGACUCACUUUUGAACUACAGUUACUUUUCCAUGUGGGGGGUAGCUUCAAGGACUGUAAUAAUGCCUCCUUGUGAACUGAAUUCCUUGUGCCUAAUACUGGUAGAAAGGUUUGUCAUAAAUCCACUCUGUUAAAGUGUUUGAAUAAAUUACUUUUUAAUUUA